UACAGAGGGGGCAAGCGUUGUUCGGAAUUACUGGGCGUAAAGGGCGCGUAGGCGGCCUUCUAAGUCGAACGUGAAAUCCCCGGGCUCAACCCGGGAACUGCGUCCGAUACUGGAAGGCUUGAAUCCGGGAGAGGGAUGUGGAAUUCCAGGUGUAGCGGUGAAAUGCGUAGAUAUCUGGAGGAACACCGGUGGCGAAGGCGACGAUCUGGGAAGAUACUGACGCUGAGGUGCGAAAGCGUGGGGAGCAAACAGG
rnacentral:rRNA from 1 species